rnacentral:ncRNA from 1 species
GUUUCAGGGCGGGGUGAGAUUCCCCACCGGCGGUAAGCAGCAGGCGCUGCAAGCCCGCGAACCGCAACCAUGCGGCCGAUCCGGUGCGAUUCCGGAGCCGACGGUCACAGUCCGGAUGAAAGAAA